rnacentral:rRNA from 1 species
GUCUUUUUGAGAAUAAUAUAAAGUCUAAUCUGCCCAUUGAUUUUUUAAAAGGCUGCAGUAUUUUGACUGUACAAAGGUAGCAUAAUAAUUAGUUUUUUAAUUGAAAGCUAGAAUGAAUGAUUUGAUAAAAAAAAUACUGUCUCUUUUUUAUUAAUUAAAAUUUUAUUUUUAAGUAAAAAAGCUUAAAUUUUUUUAAAAGACGAGAAGACCCUAUAGAGUUUUAUAUAUAAUAAUAAUAUUUUUUUGUUUGUAUUAAUUUUUAUUAUAAUUAUAUAUUUUUUUGGGGUGAAGGAAAAGUUUAUUAAACCUUUUUAUAAUAAAAACAAAUAUAAUUGAUUUAUUGAUCCUUAUUAGAUUAUUAGAUUAAAUUACCUUAGGGAUAACAGCGUAAUUUUUUUGGAGAGUUCAUAUCUAUAAAAAAGUUUG